GAUGAACGCUGGCGGCGUGCCUAAUACAUGCAAGUCGAACGCUUUGUUUUUAAUUGAUAUGAAGAGCUUGCUCUGAUUUGAUUUUAUCUGACAAAGAGUGGCGAACGGGUGAGUAACACGUGGGUAACCUACCUAUUAGCAGGGGAUAACAUUUGGAAACAAGUGCUAAUACCGUAUAACACUAACAACCGCAUGGUUGUUAGUUGAAAGAUGGUUAUGCUAUGAAUAAGAGAUGGACCCGCGUUGCAUUAGCUAGUUGGUAAGGUAAUGGCUUACCAAGGCGAUGAUGCGUAGCCGAUUUGAGAGACUGAUCGGCCACAAUGGGACUGAGACACGGCCCAUACUCCUACGGGAGGCAGCAGUAGGGAAUCUUCCACAAUGGGCGCAAGCCUGAUGGAGCAACGCCGCGUGUGUGAUGAAGGGUUUCGGCUCGUAAAACACUGUUAUAAGAGAAGAACGACAUUGAGAGUAACUGUUCAGUGUGUGACGGUAUCUUAUCAGAAAGGAACGGCUAAAUACGUGCCAGCCGCCGCGGUAA
rnacentral:rRNA from 1 species